CAUGCUUUCUGUAAAGCCUGCAGAACCAUGAGCUAAUUAAACCUCUUGUUAUAAAUUACCCAGUCUCAGGUAUUUUUCAUAACAAUGCAAGAAUGGCCUAAUACAGCAAGACCGCCCUUUCUACCCUCUUCAAUGCUUCUGUCUUUGCUAUGUUAAAACCAGGUAUUAAGGCUGAAUUUGUCUACACAUCAAACAUGUACCUAGGAGGAAUAUUUGCUCUGUGCCAUCAGCAGUGUAGAAACUAGAAUAACCAGCUGCCGUAUUGUGAGCUGCAUUAUGAAGAGAACCAUGUGGCAAGACACUGAGGGAGAUCUCCAGCCAACAACAACUCAUAAGCAACUAAAUCUUGUGAUGAACCACUGGAGUCAUCUGGAAAGAGGAUCCUCUCACCUUCAAUCUUUGAAAUGGCUAGAGCUCUGAUGACAGUUGGAUUACAGCCUUAGGAGAAACAGAGAGCCGGGGAAAUUUGUGCCCAGGUUCCUUUCCCACAGACAUUGUCAGAUAAUAAAUAUCUCUGCG
rnacentral:lncRNA from 1 species